GAUGAACGCUGGCGGCGUGCCUAACACAUGCAAGUCGAGCGAUUUUCUUCGGAAGAGAGCGGCGGACGGGUGAGUAACGCGUGGGUAACCUGCCCUGUACACACGGAUAACAUACCGAAAGGUAUGCUAAUACGAGAUAAUAUGCUUUUACCGCAUGGUAGAAGUAUCAAAGCUCCGGCGGUACAGGAUGGACCCGCGUCUGAUUAGCUAGUUGGUAAGGUAAUGGCUUACCAAGGCGACGAUCAGUAGCCGACCUGAGAGGGUGAUCGGCCACAUUGGAACUGAGACACGGUCCAAACUCCUACGGGAGGCAGCAGUGGGGAAUAUUGCACAAUGGGCGAAAGCCUGAUGCAGCAACGCCGCGUGAGCGAUGAAGGCCUUCGGGUCGUAAAGCUCUGUCCUCAAGGAAGAUAAUGACGGUACUUGAGGAGGAAGCCCCGGCUAACUACGUGCCAGCCGCCGCAGUAAUAC
rnacentral:rRNA from 1 species